UUGGCCCUGCGGUGCGCGUGAUGAAGGAAGGCUAUUUGACCCAGUAACGAUACCUCGGGGGCCCUACCCUGCGGUGGUGAGCCUGUCUCUCUGGAGAUAACGGCCUGAAGCCGCACCUCUUGGGCACCCACCUGGCGAAAGCUGGGUUCAAAGCCACCUUCACACGGCAUCUGCGGGGCCUUU
rnacentral:other from 2 species